CCUACGGGUGGCUGCAGUGGGGAAUAGUGGGCAAUGGAGGAAACUCUGACCCAGCAACGCCGCGUGAAUGAUGAAGGUCUUCGGAUUGUAAAGUUCUUGUCUAAGGGAAGAAGAAAGGGACGGUACCUGAGGAAUAAGCCUCGGCUAACGCCGGGCCAGCAGCCGCGGGAAGACGUAGGAGGCAAGCGUUAUCCGGAAUGACGGGGCGUAAAGGGGGCGUAGGUGGUUUGCUAAGUUGGGAGCGUAACACCGAGGCUCCACCUCGGCACGACUCCCAAAACUGUCGGACUUGAGUGCAGGCGGGGCAACUGGACUUCCUAGUGUAGCGGUGUACUGCGUAGAUCUUAGGCGGCACACCAGUGGCGACGGCGAGUUGCUGGACUGUACCUGACCCUGCGGCACGCACGCGUGGGGAGCACACAGGAUUAGAUACCCCGGUAGUC
rnacentral:rRNA from 1 species